GUGACUUCUCGAGACGUACCCUGAAAUUAAACGUAAAAACAGAUUUGGUGUAUUUUCACGUCAUAUCCACGCUUUACUACAUUACUCAGUGUAAAAUCUAAUCGGAGAAACUAUUUUCGCCUUCACGUCAAUUGAACGUGAAAUUGCCCACCUUCUAUGGUACGAGAUUGCAUUCGAAAUACGGCACAUCAUGUCCGUUCAAAAUAAAGCGAAAUAUUACCCUAAAUGUAGCAUAUAUUUACAUAAUCAUUGUAAUAUUGCCUAAAACCACUGCAAUGUAAACGGAUCGAACACCCGACCGCAGUUGGGAGACAUUUUGUUUGACGGCAGUUGUUUGCAAUUUGCUCCGGGAGUGAUUUCAUUUUAAAAAAUCAAUUUAUCUCUGUGAGUGGUAGCAAUAAACCGUGGCACCAGAUUAUCUAGUACAGUAGAGUGGCAUUAAUGUAUCCGUGCGAGAAAAUGAAUAUAAAAUCAAUCAGAUCGACGAAUGAAACACGACUUCGUCAUCUAGCAAGCAUAUCAUUUUGGCGUCCCGCAUCAAUCAGUUGGAAUGGGAUGAUCAGUUAGAACAGAAAUGAAAAAAAAAACGGCAGGGCUCCAUUCGAAAUCGGAAAACGAAAUACCCACAGCAAAGUGGUAACAUGGCGGAAAUAUCUACGGAAAGAUGCGCGAAGUGAUCUUACUGUGAGUAGAAUUUGGUAGUGAUGCAUGUAAGAGAUACCAGGGCUAUCUACGCCACUAAUAAAUAAUUGUCAAAACACAGGGCUAUACUGCUCAUACAUGAAUAUCUGUUCUAUGUAGAUAUGAACUAAUACAAACGUAGGACUGUCAUGCUUUUAUUGACAGCUUUGUCACGUUAAUUGGUAGCGAAUGAAUAUUAAACAAAAUGCAAAUCGCAAAAGAAAAAUUAGCACUUUGCAAAUAAAAAUUCAA